UACGUAGAGGGCUAGCGUUGUCCGGAAUCAUUGGGCGUAAAGCGCGUGUAGGCGGCCCGGUAAGUCCGCUGUGAAAGUCGGGGGCUCAACCCUCGAAUGCCGGUGGAUACUGCUGGGCUUGAGCACUGUAGAGGCAGGCGGAAUUCCGGGUGUAGCGGUGGAAUGCGUAGAGAUCCGGAAGAACACCGGUGGCGAAGGCGGCCUGCUGGGCAGUAGCUGACACUGAGGCGCGACAGCGUGGGGAGCAAACAGG
rnacentral:rRNA from 1 species